AGUCAUGGCCGUUCGCGUGUCACGCACGCACGAGCGCGCGUGUGAAGAACUUAGGUCGGAUCCCGUGGUUCCCAUGGAACAAACUAUCUAAUAGUAUUUUUCAAGUUUCCCAGUAACGAGGACAGAGACUAUUUCCGGUUCCGUAGAGAGUUAUUCCCUUCCUGUACUGCGACAAUUUUCCAUUAGUCCGUGUGUAUUCGUAACUCGUGUCAGUAAAAACACCGGGGCGUUGUGAUCGGCUUUUAUGUUUUUUUUUCUUUUUUCUUCUCUUAUUCUCUUCUCUCCUUACAUUUCUGUGAAUGAACGGAAAGAUAAAUUAGAGGUCGUUAUAGAUUUUUAUUCUUAGAUAAUAUCUAUUAGGGAAAAAACACAAAUUGUUCGAUGUAUCGGAUGAAAUAUAUAACAACGAAAAAAAUCAUAAAAAGAAAAAAGAGAAAGAUGUUUGAGAGCGGCAAAAAAGACAGGACGCAUUAAGUCGAGACCUUGGCUCGAUUUAUACAGAAAAUGUGGAGCAGGUGUCUACCUGGGACGAUCAGGAUGCAGCCAGGCCUGUCCGUUCGACCGACGGGCAACGUACACAAGCCAACCUGAAACCGGAAGCACCGCUUUCUGCCUUGCUGCUCACGAACAAUAAGAUCGAAAGAUUCCUCAGAGAAGCGAGCACGAUCGAAUACCGAGCUGUUUUAUCAUAGAUGAAAGAUCUAUAAAAAUUCCUUCCUCAGGUCAAGUAUCUCGCAAAAUGGAGAUCAUUGUUUUAGAUUCGAGACAAUAUUGCUAAUAAGAUUUAUUACUGAACUAUCUCAAA
rnacentral:lncRNA from 1 species